GCCUGGGUGGCUCAGUCGGUUGAGUGUCCGACUUCGGUUCAGGUCAUGAUCUCACGGUUCGUGGGUUCGAGCCCCGCAUCGGGCU
rnacentral:tRNA from 1 species